ACAAUGGUACUCCCGUAACUCGCGGCCCGGCCACAAUGAAGGCGGGGAGAUGAAAUUUCUGUGG
rfam:Clostridiales bacterium 52_15 Ley3_66761_scaffold_4837, whole genome shotgun sequence.